AUCCAGUUGACGAGUCCCAAACAGGAUGAAAUGACCAUCCUAAAU
rnacentral:hammerhead_ribozyme from 1 species